CAGGGGCUCAGUCUGCUUGAGAUUCUCUGUCGCCCUCUGCACCCCCCAUAAAUAAAUAAUUUUUUUAAGAAGGGAUAAAGCUGAAAAGCUUAAUUUACCUUUUCUUUUUCUAGAUAAUGGCAUGAGUGUGUUCAGGCAAUAGGCCCUAUUUUCUUCCUAAAUAAUUGUGCAUUGUAAGUUAGCCUUGUAGAAGUGGAAAACAUUUCUGUGAUUUUUCCAAAGCCUCUUAAUUAAAAACCAGAUCCUCAUAUUGUGAAUUUAAGAAAAUUUAUCAUAGAGAUAUGUUUCUCUUAGAUCAGCCCUCUUGUGGAGAAACAGCUGAGUCAGAUUGAAAGGAAUGGCCUGGGUUACUCUAUCUGUUGCGUUUUUGUUCUCGUAUACCAAAGAAAAGUUAAAAUACCCAAGCACAUUAAAAUUAAUUUUGUGUAUCUGGCAGGUUUUAAGAGUGCUAGUAGUGGUCGCUGUCCAAACGUAAAUGGCCACAGGUGCCCAGCUGAAGGAAUGACUAUGGAAUGACCAUUGGUCACUGGUUUCUCCCUACUGGUUGCAGAUCUCUUGCAAAUGCUAGAAUAGUAGCAGUCAAUCAUGAUUUUUUUUUCUUUUUUAAGAGAGAGCAUGGCUGGGGGUCAGGGGAGAGGUGGAGGGCGAGGGAAGGAGAAUCUUAAACAGGCUUCAUGCCCAGUGCAGAGCCAGAUGCCGGGUUCCAUCUCCCCACCCCGAGAUCAUGACCCGAGCCAAAAUUAAGAAUCGGAUGUUUAACUGGCUGAGCUGCCCAGGCACCCCUCAAUUAUUAUUUUUAAUGAAGAAGCAGAGGGUGGCUCUAUAAUUUCUUGGAUUCCUUAGCUACAUAAAAAGCUUCAGGAAGUAAGUGCACUGCUAGGAUGAUUAGUGUGUGGGAAUUUACUAUCUGUUCUGCCCAUUUAGUUAACACCCAUCCAAAGAGAGAUGUUAUAAAAAUAGAAGAAACCAUUAUAUCUUUUGAUAUGGAACAUAUUAAACAGACAAAAUAUGGUUCACAGAGUAGAAUGCUAAGCUAAAGACCAGAGUUUCUACUGUGACUGUCAUCGUCUCACGGAUACUACUUUUACCUUUCUGUACUUUCAUAUUUCUUUCUAUAAAAAAGCACUAGUGAUCAUUUUUGACACUUUCCAUUUCCAGAGAUAACAAAAGGAUGCUACAGUGAAUGUUUAGGUAUCUUGAGCACAAUAAAAGGUGCUAAAUAAAUAAGAAUCUACUUUCAGAAAAAAGUAGUACUCUUUCCCACCCUGAUCCCUACAUUCGAUAUUGAUCCAAAGACAUUUAAAUGACAGAGAUGUAUGGCAAAUAGAGGUCUGUGUCUAUGUAUUACUGAGAUGUAUGUGACAAAUAUCAGCAGAAUAAAAUGACAAUAAUGGAAAAAUGGGGAAUGUGAUAAAGAGAUUAUUAAACUUAGAGUUGACCAUAAAACCUUGCUUGAAUAGGGCUCUUUGUAAAAUAAUCUAUGUGACUUUUUUCUGAUCUCUGUGGUAUGCUGUGGUGUCAGAUGUUGGUCAUAUUAUUUCUUAUUGGUGGAAACCCUCCAGAACAGAGUGGGGACAGAAAAUACUUUGCUUUGACGCUCUAGCUGCUGUUGAUCUCAUAAGAAAAUUCUUUAAAAUACAGGUUGGCUGUGCAGUGAAAGAGUUGAAAGGGAAAUGGAGUCUAGGGUCUCCUGCCCACAUUUAACUCCACUACCAGAAGAAGGAAGAAUUCAUUUCUCUCUCUACCUGUAAGUGCAAAGAGCAGUUCGAAUGUGAUGUACUGGAAGCUUCCUGCGGCAGGAGGAAGGGGAGUUCCUGCCACGUAGUAAGCACCGCACAAUUUAGUAGCUGAAAGCAACCACCAUUUAGCUCCCAGUUCUGGGGGUUGGCUCAGCUUGGUUGGUUCUUCAGCCCUGGGUGAGCCUGGUGAGGCUUGCUUACCCACGUACAGGCUGGCUGGGGUUAGCUGGGCCACACUAAUCCCUCCUUCGCGGGCCCAGCAAGCUAGUCCGUCUGGCCUUCCUCUCUGGUGGGGGCAGGCUUCAGAGAGAGCAAGUGUGCCAGGCUUUUUGAGGUCCAGGCUCAAACUGGAAUGCUGUCACUUCUGCUACACUCUGUUGGCCAAAGCAAGACACAGGGGCAGCCCAGAUUCAAGAGUUGGGGGAAAUAGACCCCCAGCUCUUAACAGGAAGGCUUGAAGAGUGAUAUAGGGAGAGGGAUGGUUGGAUGCAAGGGGGGGGGGGAGAAUGAGUCCCCUUUACCAUCUGUUUACCACCGGAGACGUAGUGUUCAGAAUAAAAUGCUCCCAGAGCACAUCUAGGAGCAGGAGAGGGAUGUUUCCAGCCCCUAAAGAGCGCUUCCAUCUCUGGUGAUCACAUUCCUUCGAAGGAGAGAACUGUGGAUUCCUACAGAGAGACACCCACAUCCACAUUUAAGUAAUGAAAUUCCUACCAAAGCCAAAUAUACAUGGUCGGGGAACCGGGUCUGCUGCACUACUGCAUUCCACUGGCAUUGAAAAGCGACUGUUAAAAAAAAAAAAAAGAAAGAAAGAAAGAAAGAAAGAAAGAAAGAAA
rnacentral:lncRNA from 1 species